rnacentral:rRNA from 1 species
GUUUGAUCCAGACAUUUGUGGUCGUUUUAGUGACCCAUUUGGAGAUGCCCUAACAUAACAUAGCAGUCUAGUCACUCGUGCCGUAUUGUGUAGGUAACAGGCAGGUUACUAUCAAAUCGUUGAGUGAGCCCUCCUGGUGGUAAUUCAAAUCUGUGGAGAACGAGCACUUACCGUGGCAGUGAUUAAAAACCGACGUUUAGCGUUCCAGCAAUUCUUUUUCCAAACUAGAGUUAUUAGCCGAGAAAAAGACGUACAGAAGGCGUACCACAGCACCGCUGCUGUAGCAAAGCGACCAUACAACCACAUGCGGGAACCACCUAGGCCACCGAGGCGACGACGCACCGUGUCUUACCGGUCAUCGGACAUGCAUAUUCCAGGCCAAGCGGGAAGAGGGGAAAGAGGCGUCGCCGUCGACGACCUGGCGGGGGCAAGUCUCCGGCUCUAUCCACCAGACGGCACUGAACUUCCUUCCACCACCAGUAGUCUAAUCGGGACGGCAGGAGAGGAGGAAUUCAUGACAUGUAGUGACAUGCCCCAACUGGUGGCGCCUCCAUCGAUUGCUGCAGGCACAUCGCACAUGGGACACUUGCUCGUGAUUUUCCGGCUGCGUGCGUGGACGACUUCUCAUCUAUCUCCUGACCCGGCCGCGUCGCGCUGCCGACUGCGUUUAGUUAAACACACGCACCUUCCCCUAAUCCUCCAUCCACAGACGAGUACACAUGCUUCCUUCGUCUUCUUCGCGUGCUGGCGCUGGCGUAGCUCUUCGCUGUUAAACGCGGUAUCUGCUGGAUGAGCAAAUCCUCUCCGGGUUUAUCAUCCGUCACGCGCAUGAUCCUGCGCCGUCUCGCUUCGAACGUUCCUGUAACCAUUCUGAUAUCUCUCCUAUAACUACUUGCAGGCUGCGGCUGCGGCAGCCUCACUCAGUCAACAGCGUACAGCUACAGUUUGCUUCGUUCUUUGGUUUGGUCAUGGCCAGGUCAUGGCUGGCCGGCCUGCGGUCUCGGCUCGGCGGCGGCGCCAGGCAGGACGGGCUCGGCAUCCUGGCCUUCGAGGCGGCGGCCGCCAUGUCGCGCCUGGUCUCGCUCCACCUCUCGCUGUCCGACGCGGAGGUCAGGAGGCUCCGCGCCGACGUGCUGCGCGCCGAGGGCGUCGCGCGCCUCACGUCCACGGACCAGUCCCGCCUGCUCCGCCUCGCGUGCGCCGAGCUCAUGGCGGGCCUCGACCGCGCCGCAGACGACGCCGCGCGCCUCGGAGCGCGCUGCCGCGGGCUGCCGGACGCGCCGUUCCUGCACGACUUCGACCGCGUCUACGCCGACGCGAAGCGGGGGGCCGGCCUCGCGCGGCUGGACGCCACCGUCGGGUUCUCCAGAGGCGCCGGGAAGCGGUUCAAGAAGAUGGAGCGGCACGUGGCCGCCACGGCGAAGCUGUACGCGGAGAUGGACGCGCUCACCGAGCUGGAGGCGUCGGAGCGGCGGAUGGAGCAGUGGAAGCAGCACAGCGGGCCCAUCCCCGUGCAGUCCUCCAAGCGGCAGCCCGCGGACGAGCCAAGCGAGAAGCUCAUGGGCGAGCUCAGGUUGCAGCGGCAGAAGGUGCGGCGACUCACGGAGGGCUCGCUCUGGAGCGUCGCCGCCCACAAGGUGGCCAAGCUCAUGGCCAAGUCGGUGCUCGCCGUGCUCGCGCGCGUCUCCCUUGCCUUCGGCGCGUUAGUGCCGGGAUUGCCACCUCCGUUGACAGGCCGGGGAUGGGCGCUCGGCCACUCGUCUGGCCCCAUGCACCAGUCGACGGCGCCCGACGCGGCGAUCCGGCACUCGGCCCCGAUCUUCCGGCAAAAAGACACUGCCUCGACAUCGUCAGAGCCACUCAAGCCGCCUGCGACCACCGUCGGUGGGUCGGGGAUGGAACUGCGUUACGCGAACGUGAUCCUGUCCGCCGAGACGCUGCUCAAGGCGCUGAGGCCGGCGAUCCGCAACGAGGAGGCGCAUGACGGGAUGACGGAGCUGGCGAUGAGAGACGAGCUGUACAAGAUGCUGCCCGUGACCAUACGCGCAGCAGUGAAGGAGAAGCUGAGGGAGAGGUUGAGAGGAGGGCAGGUGGACGAGGAGGCCGCCGCGACAGCGAUGGACGCCGUGGACGGAGUGCUGCGGUGGUUGGGGCCAAUGGCGCAUGACACGCUGCGGUGGCAGGACGAGAGGAGCAUGGAGCGGAAGCAACGGUUCAGCAUGCAGCCGCGCGCGCCGAUGGUGCAGACGCUGCAUUUCGCGGACCGUCGGAAGGCGGACGCUGCUAUCGUCGAGGUGCUCGUUGGUCUCAGCUGUAUGUGCUGGUACGACGAUCAACGGCGGCGGCCGGCUGACUGGAACGAGUAGCUGGCCUGGUCAACGACGAUGCGCAGUUCAUCAUGUGUAAAUUUAUAGAUAUACGUGUAGGAAAGACAUUUGUAUACAUGCACUAGAUCAUUGAUGCCCGUCUAUUUUUCCAAUGAAAUGAUAGAAAUUUUAUAAAUAUAUAGUCAUAAAACAUAGUGGCACAAAAACAUUAAAGUUACAUUUGUAUAAAGUGCCUAUAUAUUGGACGACUAUAAAAGAUUAUAGUAGUGCAGUGGUGGGAGAGGAUUGAGUU